rnacentral:rRNA from 1 species
UACGUAGGUGGCAAGCGUUGUCCGGAUUUACUGGGCGUAAAGGAUGCGUAGGCGGACAUUUAAGUCAGAUGUGAAAUACCCGAGCUUAACUUGGGUGCUGCAUUUGAAACUGGGUGUCUAGAGUGCAGGAGAGGUAAGUGGAAUUCCUAGUGUAGCGGUGAAAUACGUAGAGAUUAGGAAGAACACCAGUGGCGAAGGCGGCGACCUGGACAGGUACUGACACUCAACUACGAAAGCGUGGGGAGCAAACAGG